rnacentral:rRNA from 1 species
UACAGAGGUCCCGAGCGUUGUUCGGAUUCAUUGGGCGUAAAGGGUGCGUAGGUGGCGCUGUAAGUGGGGUGUGAAAUCCCGGGGCUAACUCCGGAACUGCAUUCCAUACUGCGGUGCUUGAGGACUGGAGAGGAGACUGGAAUUUACGGUGUAGCAGUGAAAUGCGUAGAGAUCGUAAGGAAGACCAGUGGCGAAGGCGGGUCUCUGGACAGUUCCUGACACUGAGGCACGAAGGCCAGGGGAGCAAACGGG